rnacentral:rRNA from 1 species
GACGAACGCUGGCGGCGUGCUUAACACAUGCAAGUCGAACGGAAAGGCGCUGCCUUUUUGGGGUGCUCGAGUGCCGAACGGGGGAGUAAGACGUGAAUCUCCUUCCCUUGAUUGUGUAACACCUCCAGGGAAGUGCGGCUACUACAGAAUAGGAGCGCCUGCUGCGGGGCGGGGGUCGGAGAGUUUCGGCGGUUGCGGACGGACGCGCGGCUUUGGGGCUUGGUGGUGGGGUAGGGGCGUACGAGGGACGUGAUGGGUAGCCGGCCUGGGAGGGUGACCGGCCACAUUGGGCCUGAGAUAGGGCCCAGACUGCUACGGGAGGCAGCAGUGGGGAAUAUUGCAAAAUGGGCGGAAGCCGGAUGCAGCAACGCCGCGUGCGGGAGGACGGCCUUCGGGUUGUAAUCCGCUUGCGCCUGUGACGAAGCGGGAGUGACGGUAACGGGUAAAGAAGCACCGGCUAACUACGUG